rnacentral:tRNA from 1 species
UGGGGUGUGGCUCAGCAGUACAGCUCUUGUCCAGAGGGCAUGAGACUCUAGGUUCAAUCCCUAGCAUUACAA